CUUCUCCUCCUCCCAGCUGCAUCGCCACACCCCAUUAUCCAUUCCUAAACUGAAGAAACCAAGAAGGAGAGCUCCAUCUCCCUUUUCCAUCUCAACCUCGCCGCCGGUCGUGAAGACGACGACCGCCUCCAGCGUCAUUAAGCCGCCGUCGUUUCCUCUUCUCUUGCGUUCCAUUAUCACCUCUCCUCGCCGAUUCCAGCCCUCUAAGUUUCAUCCCAUUUCAUGCAGUGGUUUGGUGGGAACUCAAACCUCGACGAUAAUGCUCUGGAGCGCGCACUGGACGCCGCCAUCGGGACAUCGUCUUCGUUGCUGUCGAACCGGAGCAAGCCGAGCCGAGCCACCGCAUCAUCAACAUCUCCUCGGUGUCCUCUCUUAAAUCCCUCAUGAACCCCAGCCAGUGGUGCAUCGAGCUUGGAGAUCGGCAUCGUCUUCCCCAAUUCCAGCCGUCAAGCUCCACCUUCGAUUUCUCCCUCUCCGAUCAUCAGCCAUAUCAAGCCGGCGACGUCAUUCCGAAGCUCCCCGCCGUCGCCGAGUCGUUCUGCUCGCGGUCACCGCUAUCUGGACCCUGCCAAGUUUCAUUGGACGCUCGGUUAUAAAUGCAAUGUGAAAGGGAAUGUCACGCCUAGAAAUUCAUGAACCAGAAUUUCAAGAAGAAUGUGUAUUAAAUCCCCUAUCCAGGACAAGCCAGGGUACACAAACAACAAAGUCGAAACUCAGAUCCACGUCUUACAAAUAAAUAAUGUCUUAAAUAUGCAGCGGAAAGUGGAAGCAUCAUUUGGGGAUUGCUCUACUUCAUCGCCUCAUCUUGACAAGUCUGAAAUGAUUAUCUCCUCUGAUCAAGAAGGUCUUAUCUCAUCAUCCAUCUCACCAACAUACAACUACAAGCAAGGUAAUGAAAUGGUGAAUAAGGUUGAUGAUUGUCCAACUCUCCCAUUGUACUCCAACAACACCGAUAAUGAAAUUGCUAUAUUUGAUUGUGUUGUUGACUCAUACAAA